rnacentral:rRNA from 1 species
AUUGAACGCUGGCGGCAUGCUUUACACAUGCAAGUCGAACGGUAACAGGCCGCAAGGUGCUGACGAGUGGCGAACGGGUGAGUAAUGCAUCGGAACGUGCCCAGUCGUGGGGGAUAACGCAGCGAAAGCUGCGCUAAUACCGCAUACGAUCUCUGGAUGAAAGCGGGGGACCGAAAGGCCUCGCGCGAUUGGAGCGGCCGAUGUCAGAUUAGGUAGUUGGUGGGGUAAAGGCCCACCAAGCCAACGAUCUGUAGCUGGUCUGAGAGGACGACCAGCCACACUGGGACGGAGACACGGCCCAGACUCCUACGGGAGGCAGCAGUGGGGAAUUUUGGACAAUGGGCGCAAGCCCGAUCCAGCAAUGCCGCGUGCAGGAAGAAGGCCUUCGGGUUGUAAACUGCUUUUGUACGGAACGAAACGGUCUGGGUUAAUACCCUGGGCUAAUGACGGUACCGUAAGAAUAAGCACCGGCUAACUACGUGCCAGCCGCCGCAGUAA